GCACAAGCGGUGGAUGAUGUGGAUUAAUUCGAUGCAACGCGAAAACCUUACCUACCUUGACAUGUCCGGAAUCCCGAAGAGAUUUGGGAGUGCUCGCAAGAGAACCGGAACACAGGUGCUGCAUGGCUGUCGUCAGCUCGUGUCGUGAGAUGUUGGGUUAAGUCCCGCAACGAGCGCAACCCUUGUCAUUAGUUGCCAUCAUUUGGUUGGGCACUCUAAUGAGACUGCCGGUGACAAACCGGAGGAAGGUGGGGAUGACGUCAAGUCCUCAUGGCCCUUAUGGGUAGGGCUUCACACGUCAUACAAUGGUCGGUACAGAGGGUUGCCAACCCGCGAGGGGGAGCUAAUCCCACAAAGCCGAUCGUAGUCCGGAUCGCAGUCUGCAACUCGACUGCGUGAAGUCGGAAUCGCUAGUAAUCGUGGAUCAGCAUGUCACGGUGAAUACGUUCCCGGGUCUU
rnacentral:rRNA from 1 species